rnacentral:rRNA from 1 species
GCGUGCCUAAUACAUGCAAGUCGAGCGGACAGAUGGGAGCUUGCUCCCUGAUGUUAGCGGCGGACGGGUGAGUAACACGUGGGUAACCGCCUGUAAGACUGGGAUAACUCCGGGAAACCGGGGCUAAUACCGGAUGGUUGUUUGAACCGCAUGGUUCAAACAUAAAAGGUGGCUUCGGCUACCACUUACAGAUGGACCCGCGGCGCAUUAGCUAGUUGGUGAGGUAACGGCUCACCAAGGCAACGAUGCGUAGCCGACCUGAGAGGGUGAUCGGCCACACUGGGACUGAGACACGGCCCAGACUCCUACGGGAGGCAGCAGUAGGGAAUCUUCCGCAAUGGACGAAAGUCUGACGGAGCAACGCCGCGUGAGUGAUGAAGGUUUUCGGAUCGUAAAGCUCUGUUGUUAGGGAAGAACAAGUACCGUUCGAAUAGGGCGGUACCUUGACGGUACCUAACCAGAAAGCCACGGCUAACUACG